GCAUGAUCUGAGAAUAAAAGCAUCUGUUUUCAGAAAUGGAGACUGUUUUGUUUUAUUAAGCUGUGGUAAUUAUCCCAUAUAAGUCCACUGGUUCAAAGCUCCUGAUGUAACCUCUGAGAGAUAAUAAAGUUGAAUACAUUCUGCCAUGGAGAAGCACAAUGGGGUUAUCAGAGAGCAAGAAGUUGCCCAACUGUGGCUCAGUGACUUAAGAGCUGGGAUAAAAAGUUCCAGACCAGGUACUUUCAAACUGCUUUGCUCCAGAGAAGCCUGGUUUCAUUUGGCGUUUGUUUUACUUUCAAAUUUGACUUCUUGGAUGGUUGAUAAAGCAGCAGGAAUGCACUGAUUUGCCGUUUUUUUAAAAGCCUUUUAGAACAAAUACAGCUACAGACUUUGUAAACCAAGAAAGUGUUUGGCCAUCCUCCCCAUGGGGGUAGGUAUGAAUUUCUGAUACACUGGUUGACAAACAUCUGAAUACAUUAUACCCUUUAUUGCUGAGAGAAGAGUGUGAUUUGUCCUGCUUCCCAGGCUCUCUGCCAAACUUACCAAUGGCCAGAACUGUACAGAAUAUGGCAUAGCUACAGACAAAGGGGAAGAUUCUGCCACUAGCACCUGGUCCCACAAAUUUUGUGAAAAAUAAGGAUUCAAAUUACACUAUGGCACAGCCCUAUCCUACCAGCAAAAGAUGCUUCUGGUAUUGAAAGUAGGGCAGGUGAGGCAGACUCUUCCUCAGGGCCGGUCCUCCUCCUCCAGUUUUCUCAAGGACUCAGAGCAAGGUCUUGUGAAAUCACUCUGUAUUUAUGCUAUCUGGAAAACCUCAAGCAUGGUGUAUGCUAAGAUAAAUGACACUGAAUUACUGGGCAAAAAGUAUCUCUGUAGUGUCUGGGGUUAGCAUGAUUACUUCAAGAUUCAUAUUCCCCUUUGUGGUUUGUGUUUCUGGUGAAUCAGACUAGGUAUUUCCCUUAGCUAUUUCUUCCUCCUCAUAAAACACGUACUACUGAUCUCUUUGGGAUCAUUAAUAAUGUAGAUUGAUGCAGACAGCCCAUACUGCAAAUGGAAAAGUCUUGAUUAAGUUAUCAUAUGAUGCUUCUGUUAAGCAAGGAUUAUCCUCUUGAGCUAUUCUAGAGCAUUUUGUAAUAUCUCUUUAAAUAGAUAUAGGACCAAGUGAAAAAAUUCACCUGAGGAUCCAAAGCUUUUUUGCCUGAAGGUUGUAGCAUUUAGAUCCAGGUUUUCUUCAGGCUCACAUUAUUGCAGCCAAGGUCACUCAUGACACCAGAGUAUGAGGGCUUGAUUAGGAGUCUUCUUAUACAACUGUGCCCUUGUCUGACAAGGAUCCUCUGCUACUAGGGAGAAAAAUGUAGGACUGUAGUGAUGGAAGGGGAAAAAAGAGCUCAGAAAUAUUGUGGCCACUUCCCAGCAGCAGUGCCCAUAGCAAUUUCCACCACUUAAUUUGGAAAGAUAUUACAAACAUAUAUGAGUUUUCCUUUUUUCACAUUAUUGACUGGGCAUGGAACUUGCUGCUGUGGUUUAGUUUACAGGGUGGUGUUCAGUCAAAGACUGGAUAAUCUUGGAAUUCUUUAAGUUUAAUGAUUCUGUGGUUUUAUAUUCCGUAUUAUUUUUUCUGUAUGUACUGUUUUAUUUGGGGCAGUUUUCAGGCUGUUCUUGUGCAUUAAUUCUAACCCCUCCCAGCCUGAGCUUCUCAAUCCAGUCUU